rnacentral:rRNA from 1 species
UGCAAGUCGAGCGGACAGAAGGGAGCUUGCUCCCGGAUGUUAGCGGCGGACGGGUGAGUAACACGUGGGUAACCUGCCUGUAAGACUGGGAUAACUCCGGGAAACCGGAGCUAAUACCGGAUAGUUCCUUGAACCGCAUGGUUCAAGGAUGAAAGACGGUUUCGGCUGUCACUUACAGAUGGACCCGCGGCGCAUUAGCUAGUUGGUGAGGUAACGGCUCACCAAGGCGACGAUGCGUAGCCGACCUGAGAGGGUGAUCGGCCACACUGGGACUGAGACACGGCCCAGACUCCUACGGGAGGCAGCAGUAGGGAAUCUUCCGCAAUGGACGAAAGUCUGACGGAGCAACGCCGCGUGAGUGAUGAAGGUUUUCGGAUCGUAAAGCUCUGUUGUUAGGGAAGAACAAGUGCAAGAGUAACUGCUUGCACCUUGACGGUACCUAACCAGAAAGCCACGGCUAACUACGUGCCAGCAGCCGCGGUAAUACGUAGGUGGCAAGCGUUGUCCGGAAUUAUUGGGCGUAAAGGGCUCGCAGGCGGUUUCUUAAGUCUGAUGUGAAAGCCCCCGGCUCAACCGGGGAGGGUCAUUGGAAACUGGGAAACUUGAGUGCAGAAGAGGAGAGUGGAAUUCCACGUGUAGCGGUGAAAUGCGUAGAGAUGUGGAGGAACACCAGUGGCGAAGGCGACUCUCUGGUCUGUAACUGACGCUGAGGAGCGAAAGCGUGGGGAGCGAACAGGAUUAGAUACCCUGGUAGUCCACGCCGUAAACGAUGAGUGCUAAGUGUUAGGGGGGUUUCCGCCCCUUAGUGCUGCAGCUAACGCAUUAAGCACUCCGCCUGGGGGAGUACGGUCGCAAG